rnacentral:rRNA from 1 species
GACGAACGCUGGCGGCGUGCUUAACACAUGCAAGUCGAACGGAAAGGCCCUGCUUUUGUGGGGUGCUCGAGUGGCGAACGGGUGAGUAACACGUGAGUAACCUGCCCUUGACUUUGGGAUAACUUCAGGAAACUGGGGCUAAUACCGGAUAGGAGCUCCUGCUGCAUGGUGGGGGUUGGAAAGUUUCGGCGGUUGGGGAUGGACUCGCGGCUUAUCAGCUUGUUGGUGGGGUAGUGGCUUACCAAGGCUUUGACGGGUAGCCGGCCUGAGAGGGUGACCGGCCACAUUGGGACUGAGAUACGGCCCAGACUCCUACGGGAGGCAGCAGUGGGGAAUAUUGCACAAUGGGCGGAAGCCUGAUGUAGCAACGCCGCGUGCGUGAUGACGGCCUUCGGGUUGUAAACCGCUUUCGCCUGUGACGAAGCGUGAGUGACGGUAAUGAGUAAAGAAGCACCGGCUAACUACGUG